CCUACGGGAGGCAGCAGUGAGGAAUAUUGGUCAAUGGACGAAAGUCUGAACCAGCCAAGUAGCGUGAAGGAUGACUGCCCUAUGGGUUGUACACUUCUUUUAUAUGGGAAUAAAAUGUUCCACGUGUGGGACUUUUUAUGUAUCAUAUGAAUAAGGAUCGGCUAACUCCGUGCCAGCAGCCGCGGUAAUACGGAGGAUCCGCGCGUUAUCCGGAUUUAUUGGGUUUAAAGGGAGCGUAGGUGGAUUGUUAAGUCAGUUGUGAAAGUUUGCGGCUCAACCGUAAAAUUGCAGUUGAAACUGGAAGGCUUGAGUACAGUAGGGGUGGGCGGAAUUCGUGGUGUAGCGGUGAAAUGCUUAGAUAUCACGAAGAACUCCGAUUGCGAAGGCAGCUCACUGGACUGCAACUGACGCUGAGGCUCGAAAGUGUGGGUAUCAAACAGGAUUAGAUACCCCUGUAGUC
rnacentral:rRNA from 1 species